rnacentral:lncRNA from 1 species
AAAAACACAAACAAAAAUAAAGAAAAAACAAGAGAAAUAAAAGGACAAGACCAUCUGGUAAUAUUCAAUCAUCAUUUGGGAGGAGAUAUUUUUGAACCUCUAUUGUUACUGUUAUUUGUCUGACCACAAUCUAUAAUUUAUACCAUAAUAUUCGAUCAAAUAAGGUAAAUAAUGCAAUUUAGUCAUUUUCUCUAUCUUUUCCUUUUCCAUUCAAAUAUUUCGAUGAUUUAUGUUGGUUCAAAGUUUUGAAUCAGUAUUUGGGAGGAGAAAGUUUUGAACCUCCAUUGUUGGGGUUUCUUUAGUUUUCGGAUCGGCACUUGGGCGGAGAAAUCUUGCGAUAAUAUUGGAAAUUGUUUGGACCAAAUUGUUAAGCUUGUUUACUGAAUUAAGCUUUUGUUGUUGUUUUGAAGUUGAUUUUAGCUUGUGGUGGUCACCCGCGAUGAUAUGCAAGCAGGAGAGAUGGAGAGCAGAGAGUUGGGUGGGGAGUCCUUCUCUUUUUUGUUUCUUUUUUUAAAUAAAACUUAAAUGAAUUCUUUUUAUUUUCUAGUUUCAAUUAAGUUAGUGACACGUGUCACAGCCUUAUUCAUGCAUCACACACAUGUUUAGAAAAAGUGAUCAAAUACAGAAGUUGUGUAUCAUUGACACACUUCUAAAAGGUUGGAUGUGUAAAAGAUCUGUAAUAAAGAGGUAUGUGACAAGGAUUUGGGUGCAAGAUCAAUGGGUGAACUAUGUAUUUUGCCUUUAUAUAUAAUAAUAUGACUUCGUUAAUCAAA